AUUGAACGCUGGCGGAAUGCUUUACACAUGCAAGUCGAGCGGCAGCGCGGGGGCAACCCUGGCGGCGAGCGGCGAACGGGUGAGUAAUGUAUCGGAACGUACCCUGUCGUGGGGGAUAACACAGCGAAAGCUGUGCUAAUACCGCAUACGACCUGAGGGUGAAAGCGGGGGAUCGCAAGACCUCGCGCGAUAGGAGCGGCCGAUAUCGGAUUAGCUUGUUGGUGAGGUAAAGGCUCACCAAGGCGACGAUCCGUAGCUGGUCUGAGAGGACGACCAGCCACACUGGAACUGAGACGCGGUCCAGACUCCUACGGGAGGCAGCAGUGGGGAAUUUUGGGACAAUGGGGGCAACCCUGAUCCAGCCAUUCCGCGUGAGUGAAGAAGGCCUCGGGUUGGUUAAAGGUACGUCUUUUCUAGCAGGAACGGAAACGGUAGGCUACGUAAUACUAGCUACUAAUAGACGGUACC
rnacentral:rRNA from 1 species